UCGGGAAUUUUGGGCAAUGGGCGAAAGCCUGACCCAGCAACGCCGCGUGAGGGAUGAAGUAUUUCGGUAUGUAAACCUCGAAAGAAUGGGAAGAAUAAAUGACGGUACCAUUUAUAAGCUCCGGCUAACUACGUGCCAGCAGCCGCGGUAAUACGUAGGGAGCAAGCGUUGUUCGGAUUUACUGGGCGUAAAGGGCGCGUAGGCGGCGCGGUAAGUCACUUGUGAAAUCUCUGAGCUUAACUCAGAACGGCCAAGUGAUACUGCUGUGCUAGAGUGCGGAAGAGGCGACCGGAAUUCUUGGUGUAGCGGUGAAAUGCGUAGAUAUCAAGAGGAACACCUGAGGCGAAGGCGGGUUGCUGGGCCGAGACUGACGCUGAUGCGCGAAAGCCAGGGGAGCAAACG
rnacentral:rRNA from 1 species